UACGUAGGGUGCAAGCGUUAAUCGGAAUUACUGGGCGUAAAGCGUGCGCAGGCGGUUAUGUAAGACAGAUGUGAAAUGCCCGGGCUUAACCUGGGAACUGCAUUUGUGACUGCAUGGCUAGAGUUUGGCAGAGGGGGGGUAGAAUUCCACGUGUAGCAGUGAAAUGCGUAGAUAUGUGGAGGAACACCGAUGGCGAAGGCAGCCCCCUGGGUCAAGAUUGACGCUCAUGCACGAAAGCGUGGGGAGCAAAC
rnacentral:rRNA from 1 species